CUACGGGAGGCAGCAGUGGGGAAUUUUCCGCAAUGGGCGAAAGCCUGACGGAGCAAUACCGCGUGAGGGAAGACUGCCUAUGGGUUGUAAACCUCUUUUUUCAGGGAGGAAUAAAUGACGUGUACCUGAAGAAUAAGCAUCGGCUAACUCCGUGCCAGCAGCCGCGGUAAGACGGAGGAUGCAAGUGUUAUCCGGAAUCACUGGGCGUAAAGCGUCUGUAGGUGGUUAAGCAAGUCAACUGUUAAAUCUUGAGGCUCAACUUCAAAAUCGCAGUCGAAACGGUUUGACUAGAGUAUAGUAGGGGUAAAGGGAAUUUCCAGUGGAGCGGUGAAAUGCGUAGAUAUUGGAAAGAACACCGAUGGCGAAGGCACUUUACUGGGCUAUUACUGACACUCAGAGACGAAAGCUAGGGUAGCAAAUGGGAUUAGAUACCCCAGUAGUCCUAGCCGUAAACAAUGGAUACUAGAUGUUGAACAGAUCUACCUGUGCAGUAUCAAAGCUAACGCGUUAAGUAUCCCGCCUGGGAAGUAUGCUCGCAAGAGUGAAACUCAAAG
rnacentral:rRNA from 1 species